UGUUUCAAGACAACUUACGAAAAGGUUGUUUAACUUAUGUAAAGAAAGUUGCGUUAAAGGUCCAAUUUUAAACCCUAAAUUUAAGACCUUAAACUAAUAGAGAAGCAGUCAGAAAGUCAUUGAUAAUCUGGUGAUGGUCUGUUAGUUCGAGGGCCCAUUAAUCCAAAGGCCCAAUAAGAUAACCUGGUACAAUCCUGCAGAAUGUGAGUGAAUAAUUAAGAGAUGAUUCAUCAUUCCCAUUCUCCAAGCACCUGAAGCUUACAUAACAAUUACCAACCCCAAAAGAUGUACGAAUGACAAGGGAACAUCUCAUGACGAUUUCACUAAUGCUUCAAAUGAAGAGUACUUUUCUCAACUUUGCCCUCACCCCUUUAAGUAAAGCAGAAAUAGUAAAAUAAAAAGAGCUUGAAGCAAAAGGAUAUAAUGAUUUGUUGAUAAAUGUGUAACUAACUCUCCGAUGGAUAGUAGUGAUACAGAACAUUUAAGAAUUUACUUCAAUGAAUGAAGCAUUAUCAAAGAAGAAGUCGCCAAACUUAUAGUUUCUAUCAGACAUUGGCCUUAGAGAAAGAAUUCCACUUGGACCCAUAUCUGACUCAACGCAGAAGAAUUGAGAUAGCCCAUACUCUCAACUUAACAGAAAAACAAAUUCAGAUAUGGUUUCAAAAUCGACGAAUGAAGUGGAAAAAGGAGAAUAAAACAUCCUAAAAGACUUGCUAGAUCACAAUAGCAAAAACAACUACUUGUUUUGGUGUUAGUAUAAUCUGAUAUAUUGCAGAUUGUUGUGAACUAAGACUUUUUACUCAUUACAUUAGAAACCAUCACUUUCCAAAAAGUUCUUCAUUGUUAGCUGUGACAUUAAGUAGCUGUCUGCCUUUUUAUAUUUAAUAAACUUUUUAUAUUAUGGGGUAUAACUCUUAGCCAUUCUUUUUGUUUAUAGUAGGAGUUGGCAAAUCUGUCAAGCAAGUGAGUUUGUUUUUCCAUAGAGGAUUGCGAAAGAAAAAUUCUUGACAUAUGUCAUAGAUUGAUAAAGAAAAUAGCUGGUGUCCAUUUGUUUGUGUGUAAAACUGCCAUGACAGAUGUAACUUAUGUAUAAGUGUGUUUAUUAUCCAGCUGUGCCCAGAAAAAGAACUCUUGGUGACAUUUUGGAGUUGGACACAAAACACAAUUUUAAAUACUCAUCAUUCACAAAAUGUGCAACUCAUUCAACAAAUCACCAGUGCUUUAGAGAACCUAGUAUUUCAAAUAUUGUGGCUCACUAUCGUCAUUUUUUCCCCCUAAUAGAAUCGUAAAUGAACAUAAUUAUUCCAUUUGCCUGUGAAACAAGCUGUAACUCUAAAAUUUCAAUAACUUUGUAGACAUAGUAACCAAUCUGUAAUUUAUCUGCCAUCUUGUCUUAUGGGCCAAGCGUGUCGUAGUGAUCAGCAUACUGUACUGUGAAUCUGUUAUAGAAACAUGCCCUGCACUUUGGGGCCAUGGGUGCCUUAUAAUGUAAUGGUUUAAUCUCACUAUUCAACUAGCUAUCUUUCCCCUAGUGUAAAACAAUGUGUGUUGUAUCAUUCAGGAUAUUAGGUAAAUGGCACUUGGCUUUUAUUUACAAUAAUGAUUUUAAUUGAAAUCCAUUUCUUAUGAUAUUAAAGCCAUUUCUUCAUAUACAUAUAAAAUUUCAAAAUAUGCAGAAGGAAAAAUAGCCAAGCUAAUAAAAUUAAGAUGCUCAUGUGUCAACUUUUACCACUUUUUUAUUAUUAGAGGGAAAAAAAUUAUAAUUUAAAAAUAAUAUUUACAUAAUAUUUUGAAACCAUGAAAUUUACUUAAGGGUUAAAUGAAAAGUAACAAAGAAUAUUUAAUAAAUAUUCAUAUGGAUCUUCUAUUUAAUGUCUUAGUAUAUAUAUAGUAUAUACAUACACACACACUGACUUUUAUAUAUAAAUCGGGCCUAUUGUCAAUUGUUUGUGCAUUACAGAAUAUUUAAAGCUCUUUUUGUGUAAUAUUUUUUAAUUAACCAGGAUAAUAGUAUUUAUUAUAUAUAUAUAUAUAUAUAUACACUCACACAGUGACAUUUAUAUAUAAAUCAAACCCAUUGUCAAUUGUUUGUGCAUUACAGAAUAUUUUAAAGCUCUUUUUAUAUAAUAUUUUUGAAUUAAACAGGAUAAUACAGUACUUACAAAUAACUUUCAUGCAGUAAAUGCCCAAAACUCCAGCUAAAACAUAUAACACAACCUACAAUUGGAUAAAAAAUCAGAUAAAGAUUGAAUGAUGAAUUAAUAAUUUUCUGUAUAAUGUAUUUUCUUUGAAAUCAGUCAAAAAUUCUCAAGAAACUCCAAAAGCAUUGAUUAAUGGAUAGCUAUUUUGUCAUAUCGAAAAUAAGAAACUAAGUGAUGCACUAUCUUGAAAUAAAGUGUAAGAUAAUAGCAAGAUAAUUUUUUACCACAUGUGACUUCUUGUGUGAAGCUUUCCCAGUAGCAUUGAUUACAUAUUUAACAAUUUUGAAUAGUAUACUUUACUUCUCAAAAAUACAAAAUAAUUGUGAAAAACUAUGUUUCAUUACUUGAGACUUCAGUGAACAUUGACUCCGCAUUAUUUAAACACCUUCCUUUAACGUUACUAAACAUUUUUGGUUUAUAAAAUGUCUUGCACUAGUUUUUCAAUAGUCUUUAUAAAGUGUUCAUUCAUAUCAUAUGUAGGAAAUAAAUAUAUUCCCCAAGAACACUUGCACCAAAGUGAAUUGAGUUAGCAUUCACAAUAUUUUCAGCUAUGACUGCAUUAUAAGAGCAGCAGUCAACUUCAAUAUUCAGUUAAGGAUGUUGAUUAGUUGACUGUUUCUACCUACUGGUUGUCCUCCCUCUGUUCUGCAGUUAGAAAUUAGGAUAUGUCUUUGCCUCAAAUAUAGGGAUUUCUAACCUGGCAAUUGAAUCUAUUUUGUGAGCAAGAGGUGUUGUUUGGGUGAAAAAUCAUUUCCUACAAGGAUAUGUAGAAGAAAUGCUACAAAUCUUUUAAUCUACAAUAAUGUACAAUACAGUCAUACUAUAUGUUUUCUGCCUUCUUUUAUUAAUAUGGGUAUUUUUAUUUUUUAGUCUGUUUCUUUGUAAUUUUUGCAUAAACAUGUGAUCCAGAAAACCAAUGAGUUGUUUUGGUUCUUGUUACUGUUGUUCUCUAACAAGUAGUAUCUACUUUGCCUGCAGUGAUAUUGCUGGAAGUUUACACAAGUACAGGUUAACAACAUAAAUGUCCUUCACUGGCUGAAUAGAUAACAUCUGGAGGUUACAGGCUAUCUUGUAAAAGAUUGCCACUUUUGAGUAAAUCCAACAUUUCCUGUUAGUACAGAGCAUUGGAUUUGCCUGUUUAUUUAUCACAGUGAACAGAUCCAUGGAAAGACGUCUUCAGAAGGCAACUGUCCAAUGUCAGUGCAAGUACACACACUGUAUUUUUGCUUUGUAAUAAUAAGUAAAGAAUGUUUCACUUUA